rnacentral:rRNA from 1 species
AUUGAACGCUGGCGGCAGGCUUAACACAUGCAAGUCGAGCGGUAGCACAAGAGAGCUUGCUCUCUGGGUGACGAGCGGCGGACGGGUGAGUAAUGUCUGGGAAACUGCCUGAUGGAGGGGGAUAACUACUGGAAACGGUAGCUAAUACCGCAUAACGUCGCAAGACCAAAGAGGGGGACCUUCGGGCCUCUUGCCAUCAGAUGUGCCCAGAUGGGAUUAGCUAGUAGGUGGGGUAAUGGCUCACCUAGGCGACGAUCCCUAGCUGAUCUGAGAGGAUGACCAGCCACACUGGAACUGAGACACGGUCCAGACUCCUACGGGAGGCAGCAGUGGGGAAUAUUGCACAAUGGGCGCAAGCCUGAUGCAGCCAUGCCGCGUGUGUGAAGAAGGCCUUCGGGUUGUAAAGCACUUUCAGCGAGGAGGAAGGUGGUGAACUUAAUACGUUCAUCAAUUGACGUUACUCGCAGAAGAAGCACCGGCUAACUCCGUG